CUCUUGAUUGCGAUUGCCUUGCC
rnacentral:piRNA from 1 species